AGCAAUUUGGCGCAGUGGAAGCGCGCCGGGCUCAUAACCCGGAGGUCACAUGAUCGAAACAUGUAAUUGCUA